UACAGAGGUCUCAAGCGUUGUUCGGAUUCACUGGGCGUAAAGGGCGCGUAGGCGGGGAGGUAAGUCGGGUGUGAAAUCCCUCGGCCCAACCGAGGAACUGCGCCCGAGACUGCUUCUCUUGAGUCCCGGAGAGGAAGAUGGAAUUCCCGGUGUAGCGGUGAAAUGUGUAGAGAUCGGGAGGAACACCGGUGGCGAAGGCGGUCUUCUGGACGGUGACUGACGCUGAGGCGCGAAAGCGUGGGGAGCAAACGGG
rnacentral:rRNA from 1 species